rnacentral:rRNA from 1 species
AUUGAACGCUGGCGGCAGGCCUAACACAUGCAAGUCGAGCGAGCGGCGGACGGGUGAGUAAUGUAUGGGGACUGCCCGUUAGAGGGGGAUAACUACUGGAAACGGUGUCUAAUACCGCAUACUGUCGGCUUACCCAUUCGGGAUUGGCUGGUAGGUAAGGUAAUGGCUUACCUAGUCGACGAUCCCUAGCUGGUCUGAGAGGAUGAUCAGCCACACUGGGACUGGGACACGGCCCAGACUCCUACGGAGGCAGCAGUGGGGAAUAUUGCACAAUGGGCGCAAGCCUGAUGCAGCCAUGCCGCGUGUAUGAAGAAGGCCCUAGGGUUGUAAAGUACUUUCAGUCGGGAGGCGUUACCGACAGAAGAAGCACCGGCUAACUCCGUGCCAGCAGCCGCGGUAAUUC